UUUCAGUAUCAUUAUUUCAUUUCUCUGCAGUUAAUCUAAAUAUCUGGUAAGCUGUACUGUUUGGAAAAAUUAAAGAGGGUUCUGUGUCCGUUUGAUUAUCAUGACAUUCUGUGGGAAAAGCCUGAGUUUAGCUGGCUUAAUCUUAUGUAGGCAACUCGGGACAAUAGGUCAUUGCAGAAAUUUGUUUUACAGACACUAUUUAACCACUUCUAUUUUUACAUACCCUCUUCAAAGUAAAUGUUUGUAAUAGCUGGCAGUAUGCCUUUGAAUCAGAACAUUGACAUUCAGUAUUGCCAGUGAAUGUUCACAGACUAUGUAUGAAUAGCCUGUGUAUAUGGCUGAAAUGGUAGCAUCUUUUUACAAGUAAUUUGUGUUUAGAGACAGUUGUUUCCCACAGAAAGAAAAAAAGGCAUUAUAAUUGUUUUGGUAAGCUAGUGUGUUUUUAAUUUGUCCUGUCUUACUUUUGCAUACAGUUCUCUAAACUACUUUUCAUAGGACUGUUCAGCAGAAAGCAGGUAUCACCUAACUGAUUCUUACAGCUGUUGGACUUCUAUAAGAAAUGUUAUUUUGUUUCUCCUGCAUGUGGGUUUGUUUGUUGUGGGGUUUUGUUCAUUUUUUAAUGCAAAGCAAAGCAAGUACUUUGAUUCCAUGCACUUGGUGAAAUGUGUGCUAAACUUGUGCUUUAUUCUUUCUUGUCAGGUUGUUCCUUGCUGUUGCACUUGAAGAGGUGACCAUUUUCUAUUUGUGUUCCUGCUACUGCUUAUCUCUCCCACUGUCAAAGAAUGCAACAAAGUUCUGUCUACACAGAAAGCAAAAGCUACAAGUAAUCCAGCCUGUUGACAAUAAGAUCAGUAAGUGGGAAAUAUGUGAUGAGAUGUUAUGCUCAAUAAAACUAUGAAAUGAAGU